UACGUAGGGUGCAAGCGUUUAAUCGGAAUUACUGGGCGUAAAGCGUGCGCAGGCGGUGAUGUAAGACAGGUGUGAAAUCCCCGGGCUCAACUUGGGAACUGCAUUUGUGACUGCAUCGCUGGAGUGCGGCAGAGGGGGAUGGAAUUCCGCGUGUAGCAGUGAAAUGCGUAGAUAUGCGGAGGAACACCGAUGGCGAAGGCAAUCCCCUGGGCCUGCACUGACGCUCAUGCACGAAAGCGUGGGGAGCAAACAGG
rnacentral:rRNA from 1 species